ACUGGGCGUAAGCGUGCGCAGGCGGUUAUGUAAGACCGAUGUGAAAUCCCCGGGCUCAACCUGGGAACUGCAUUUGUGACUGCAUGGCUAGAGUGCGGUAGAGGGGGAUGGAAUUCCGCGUGUAGCAGUGAAAUGCGUAGAUAUGCGGAGGAACACCGAUGGCGAAGGCAAUCCCCUGGACCUGUACUGACGCUCAUGCACGAAAGCGUGGGGAGCAAACAGGAUUAGAUACCCUGGUAGUCCACGCCCUAAACGAUGUCAACUGGUUGUUGGGAAUUAUUUUUCUCAGUAACGAAGCUAACGCGUGAAGUUGACCGCCUGGGGAGUACGGCCGCACGGUUG
rnacentral:rRNA from 1 species